AUACGGAGGGUGCAAGCGUUGUCCGGAUUUAUUGGGUUUAAAGGGUGCGUAGGUGGUUUUUUAAGUCAGUGGUGAAAGCCUACAGCUUAACUGUAGAGGUGCCAUUGAAACUGGGGAACUUGAGUAUGGACGAGGUAGGCGGAAUUUGUGGUGUAGCGGUGAAAUGCAUAGAUACCACAAAGAACACCGAUAUCGAAGGCAGCUUACUAGGCCAUAACUGACACUGAGGCACGAAAGUGUGGGGAGCGAACAGGAUUAGAAACCCCAGUAGUCC
rnacentral:rRNA from 1 species